UGAGGAAUAUUGGUCAAUGGACGCAAGUCUGAACCAGCCAUGCCGCGUGAAGGAUGAAGGCGUUCUGCGUUGUAAACUUCUUUUAUCAGGGAAGAAACCUCAGAUUUCUAUUUGAGCCGACGGUACCUGAUGAAUAAGCACCGGCUAACUCCGUGCCAGCAGCCGCGGUAAUACGGAGGGUGCAAGCGUUGUCCGGAUUUAUUGGGUUUAAAGGGUGCGUAGGUGGGUUAUCAAGUCUGAUUUGAAAGCGUGUCGCUUAACGAUACGAUGUGGUUGGAAACUGGUAGUCUUGAAUGGGGUAGCGGUAGCCGGAAUGGGUCAUGUAGCGGUGAAAUGCUUAGAUAUGACAUAGAACACCGAUUGCGAAGGCAGCUUGAUAAACAACGAUUGACGCUGAGGCACGAAAGCGGGGGGAUCAAAAA
rnacentral:rRNA from 1 species